AUGGACGUUGUCGACUCCGUGGUGGACCCCCUCCGCGAGUUCGCCAAGGACAGCAUCCGCCUCAUUAAGCGCCGCCACAAGCCCAACCGCAAGGAGUUCCCCAAGGUGGCGGCACGGACGGCGACCGGGUUCGUCGGCUUCUUCUUCAAGCUCAUCUUCAUCCCCAUCAACAACAUCAUCGUUGGCUCCGGCUAG
rnacentral:rRNA from 1 species